rnacentral:rRNA from 1 species
AUUAAGGGCGCACGGUGGAUGCCUUGGCACUAGAAGCCGAUGAAGGACGUUACUAACGACGAUAUGCUUUGGGGAGCUGUAAGUAAGCUUUGAUCCAGAGAUUUCCGAAUGGGGAAACCCAGCACGAGUUAUGUCGUGUUAUCUGCAUGUGAAUACAUAGCAUGCAAGAAGGCAGACCCGGAGAACUGAAACAUCUUAGUACCCGGAGGAAGAGAAAGAAAAAUCGAUUCCCUGAGUAGCGGCGAGCGAAACGGGAAGAGCCCAAACCAAUAAGCUUGCUUAUUGGGGUUGUAGGACACUCUGUACGGAGUUACAAAAGAAUUUGUUAGACGA